CCUACGGGAGGCAGCAGUGGGGAAUUUUGGACAAUGGGCGCAAGCCUGAUCCAGCAAUGCCGCGUGAGUGAAGAAGGCCUUCGGGUUGUAAAGCUCUUUUGUCAGGGAAGAAACGGUCUACUCUAAUACAGUGGGCUAAUGACGGUACCUGAAGAAUAAGCACCGGCUAACUACGUGCCAGCAGCCGCGGUAAUACGUAGGGUGCAAGCGUUAAUCGGAAUUACUGGGCGUAAAGCGUGCGCAGGCGGUUAUAUAAGUCAGAUGUGAAAUCCCCGGGCUCAACCUGGGAACUGCAUUUGAGACUGUAUGGCUAGAGUGUGUCAGAGGGGGGUAGAAUUCCACGUGUAGCAGUGAAAUGCGUAGAUAUGUGGAGGAAUACCGAUGGCGAAGGCAGCCCCCUGGGAUAACACUGACGCUCAUGCACGAAAGCGUGGGGAGCAAACAGGAUUAGAUACCCUGGUAGUCCACGCCCUAAACGAUGUCUACUAGUUGUCGGGACUUAAUUGUCUUGGUAACGCAGCUAACGCGUGAAGUAGACCGCCUGGGGAGUACGGUCGCGAAGAUUAAAACUCAAAUGAAAUUGACCGGNUAGAGACGNGCGAGGACGACGACGAGGGAGGAGG
rnacentral:rRNA from 1 species